rnacentral:pre_miRNA from 1 species
AAAGACUAUAGUUUUACAGGUUUAUGUCUAACGUUUCAUCGUCUGUUUUAUUUGAAAAAAUUUAUGAUUAGUAUUUUUAUUGUUAUUACUAUAUGAUAAAACAUAAAUAGUACAUUACUAAUUUUUUUUAUUUUUUCAUAAAUUUUUGAAAUAAGAUGGACGGUUAAACGUUGGACACCAAAACCUACAACUACACUUGAA